AGGAGCAGCAUCUUAUGUCACAAAAGUUGCUGCUGUCAGCAGCUGGUUUACUCAGCAUGUGACUUUGGGGGUGGCCUCAGUGAGUGCCUUUUCCUACUGAAACAAACCAUAUAGUUUUGUCUGGCAGUCAGAAUAUUUUGCUGGAGAUGGUUAUGAGUCUUGGAAAGCACCACCUUGGAAAUACGGGUUUAUUAGAUCAUUAUGAGUUGACUUCUCACCCUGCAGAGUUGCACAGUUGCUGCUCUACAGUGAAUGUUUAGUUAGUUGUACCCAGAGCACGUGGUACAGGCGAGUUACAGUGGCUCUAAAGGCUCACACUCUCCACUCCUUGGGUAGUCCACGUGGUUCAGCUUCAGCAUGACUGCAAUGGCUGGGUUCACCUGCAUUGAUUGAGGCAGAAUUUGGAUCACAAUGUUAAAUUUCAAGGAGUUGCUGAGGCCAAAGCAAUGUUUCGGGUGUAAGGCAUGGAUUUGUUUUGCUUAAGUAUUGCAAUCCUGUUUAUCCUAGAGGAAAUAAAUUUCUUUUUCUUUGCAUUAAUAACUUUUCUUUAUGUUUUUUCAAGGCAGGGUAAAAGAUGACCCUUGUUUUACUGAAAUGAGAUGAGCUCACUCCUAUGACUUAAGCUGUACUUAGGCGUGGUCUGGGUGACCUGGUAUCAUCCAGCAGAAGUUGGGUUCUCAAAGACUAAAACCUCCAGUGAUCCAGAGCCUGAUGCCCCUGCAGUCCAAGCCAGAGAGGAAGUUUGUGAUCACGACUGGAGAGCUGGAAAAUCAAUGAGGGAUGAGGAGGACCAGAGUUUUAUCACCAUCUUCUCAUUUUGCAUCACACUUCAGUAUCUUCGCCCAUUAAAGCGCUUUUCAUCCUAUACUUCUUUCCUUGGAAAGGCAAACCCACCAGUGUCCCAUCUCCAGUAGACCUGAGCUCCUGAGCUCCAUGACUGAAGGUUGCCAACUCCGACUCUGUUGCAAGCUCUGUAACAGUCUCUGUUGACAGCUAGUGGCAGCUGCUUAGGAUGGAAAAUCAUGUGGACAAGAAGAUGCAGUCCAGUACGACUUAGAUUAAUUCUUAUUCAUCUAAUCAUAAAAAUACAAGAAGAUAAAGGAAACUUACAAC